rnacentral:rRNA from 1 species
AUUGAACGCUGGCGGCAUGCCUUACACAUGCAAGUCGAACGGCAGCACGGGGGCAACCCUGGUGGCGAGUGGCGAACGGGUGAGUAAUGCAUCGGAACGUGCCCAGUAGUGGGGGAUAACCCGGCGAAAGCCGGGCUAAUACCGCAUACGACCUAAGGGUGAAAGCGGGGGACCGUAAGGCCUCGCGCUAUUGGAGCGGCCGAUGUCUGAUUAGCUAGUUGGCGGGGUAAAAGCCCACCAAGGCGACGAUCAGUAGCUGGUCUGAGAGGACGACCAGCCACACUGGGACUGAGACACGGCCCAGACUCCUACGGGAGGCAGCAGUGGGGAAUUUUGGACAAUGGGCGCAAGCCUGAUCCAGCCAUGCCGCGUGCGGGAAGAAGGCCUUCGGGUUGUAAACCGCUUUUGGCAGGAACGAAACGGCGCAAGCCAAUACCUUGCGCUAAUGACGGUACCUGCAGAAUAAGCACCGGCUAACUACGUGCCAGCCGCCGCAGUAACAC